rnacentral:rRNA from 1 species
AGAUUAAGUUAUUAAGGGCGCACGGUGGAUGCCUUGGCACUAGAAGCCGAUGAAGGACGUUACUAACGACGAUAUGCUUUGGGAAGCUGUA